rnacentral:rRNA from 1 species
GUCAAGUCAUCAUGGCCCUUACGAGUAGGGCUACACACGUGCUACAAUGGCGGAUACAAAGUGAAGCGACCUCGCGAGAGCAAGCGGAACACACAAAGUCUGUCGUAGUCCGGAUUGGAGUCUGCAACUCGACUCCAUGAAGUCGGAAUCGCUAGUAAUCGUAGAUCAGCAUGCUACGGUGAAUACGUUCCCGGGCCUUGUACACACCGCCCGUCACACCAUGGGAGUGGGUGGCAAAAGAAGUCGGUAGCUUAACCUGCGGGGGGGCGCUGACCACUUUGUGGCUCAUGACUGGGGUGAAGUCGUAACAAGGUAACCGUAGGGGAACCUGCGGUUGGAUCACCUCCUUACCU